AGAACGAACGCUGGCGGCAUGCCUAAUACAUGCAAGUCGAACGAACUCUUCGGAGUUAGUGGCGCACGGGUGCGUAACGCGUGGGAAUCUGCCCCUUGGUUCGGAAUAACAGUUGGAAACGACUGCUAAUACCGGAUGAUGACGAAAGUCCAAAGAUUUAUCGCCAAGGGAUGAGCCCGCGUAGGAUUAGCUAGUUGGUGAGGUAAGCUCACCAGGCAACGAUCCUUAGCUGUCUGAGAGGAUGAUCACGCCACACUGGGACUAGAGACGACGGCCCAGACUCCUACGGGAGGCAGCAGUGGGAAGUUUGGACAAGUGGGACGUAAAGCC
rnacentral:rRNA from 1 species